rnacentral:rRNA from 1 species
GAGAAGCUUGCUUCUCUGAUGUUAGCGGCGGACGGGUGAGUAACACGUGGAUAACCUACCUAUAAGACUGGGAUAACUUCGGGAAACCGGAGCUAAUACCGGAUAAUAUUUUGAACCGCAUGGUUCAAAAGUGAAAGACGGUCUUGCUGUCACUUAUAGAUGGAUCCGCGCUGCAUUAGCUAGUUGGUAAGGUAACGGCUUACCAAGGCAACGAUGCAUAGCCGACCUGAGAGGGUGAUCGGCCACACUGGAACUGAGACACGGUCCAGACUCCUACGGGAGGCAGCAGUAGGGAAUCUUCCGCAAUGGGCGAAAGCCUGACGGAGCAACGCCGCGUGAGUGAUGAAGGUCUUCGGAUCGUAAAACUCUGUUAUUAGGGAAGAACAUAUGUGUAAGUAACUGUGCACAUCUUGACGGUACCUAAUCAGAAAGCCACGGCUAACUACGUGCCAGCAGCCGCGGUAAUACGUAGGUGGCAAGCGUUAUCCGGAAUUAUUGGGCGUAAAGCGCGCGUAGGCGGUUUUUUAAGUCUGAUGUGAAAGCCCACGGCUCAACCGUGGAGGGUCAUUGGAAACUGGAAAACUUGAGUGCAGAAGAGGAAAGUGGAAUUCCAUGUGUAGCGGUGAAAUGCGCAGAGAUAUGGAGGAACACCAGUGGCGAAGGCGACUUUCUGGUCUGUAACUGACGCUGAUGUGCGAAAGCGUGGGGAUCAAACAGGAUUAGAUACCCUGGUAGUCCACGCCGUAAACGAUGAGUGCUAAGUGUUAGGGGGUUUCCGCCCCUUAGUGCUGCAGCUAACGCAUUAAGCACUCCGCCUGGGGAGUACGACCGCAAGGUUGAAACUCAAAGGAAUUGACGGGGACCCGCACAAGCGGUGGAGCAUGUGGUUUAAUUCGAAGCAACGCGAAGAACCUUACCAAAUCUUGACAUCCUUUGACAACUCUAGAGAUAGAGCUUUCCCCUUCGGGGGACAAAGUGACAGGUGGUGCAUGGUUGUCGUCAGCUCGUGUCGUGAGAUGUUGGGUUAAGUCCCGCAACGAGCGCAACCCUUAAGCUUAGUUGCCAUCAUUAAGUUGGGCACUCUAAGUUGACUGCCGGUGACAAACCGGAGGAAGGUGGGGAUGACGUCAAAUCAUCAUGCCCCUUAUGAUUUGGGCUACACACGUGCUACAAUGGACAAUACAAAGGGCAGCGAAACCGCGAGGUCAAGCAAAUCCCAUAAAGUUGUUCUCAGUUCGGAUUGUAGUCUGCAACUCGACUACAUGAAGCUGGAAUCGCUAGUAAUCGUAGAUCAGCAUGCUACGGUGAAUACGUUCCCGGGUCUUGUACACACCGCCCGUCACACCACGAGAGUUUGUAACACCCGAAGCCGGUGGAGUAACCUUUUAGGAGCUAGCCGUCGAAGGUGGGACAAAUGAUUGGGGUGAAGUCGUAACAAGGUAGCCGUAUCGGAAGGUGCGGCUGGAUCACCUCCUUU